rnacentral:rRNA from 1 species
GACGAACGCCGGCGGCGUGGAUUAGGCAUGCAAGUCGAACGGUAGGAUACCUUCGGGUAUCUGAGAGUGGCGAACGGGUGAGUAACACGUAGGUGAUCUACCCUCAAGAUUGGGACAACCCAGGGAAACUUGGGCUAAUACCGGAUGAAAGCAGCAGUGAUGUUGUUUGAAAGGUGGCGUAAGCUGCCGUUUGGGGAUGAGCCUGCGCUCUAUUAGUUAGUUGGCGGGGUAAAGGCCCACCAAGGCGAUGAUAGAUAGGCGGCCUUAACGGGUGGUCGCCCACACUGGGAUUGAGAUACGGCCCUAGACUCCUACGGGAGGCAGCAGUCGAGAAUAGUCUACAAUGGCCGAAAGGCUGAUAGUGCGACGCCGCGUGAACCGAAGAAGCCCUUCGGGGUGUAAAGGUUCUUUUAUAUGUGAGCAGUGCUUUCAUGUGAACAGCAUGGGGAGAGAGAUAUUAGCAUAUGAAUAAGCAACGGCUAACUCCGUGCCAGCAGCC